GAAAAUUUUUUACUCCGAUCACCAACGUCAGAUCAAAUACGAACGAGACGCUCAAUCUCAAACAUAUGACAGGUCAUCGACACACACCAUUUCUCAGUUUGGAAGGAACGUCGACAUACUUGGGUUUCAAAAUUCGUCUGGAGAUAUGACUGACGCCAUUUUCUAAGUAUAAGAAGUUUUCCUUCUAAGGCCAAGAUGAUAUCAUGUACAGUACGUGUCUGUUAUGUGAAAUUACUGGUUUUGACGCGUCGUACUGAAAUGAUAAUGAAAUGAGAACCACUCCAAUUUUUCAACGUCCAAAUCUAACAGCGAAGAAAAAGAAGAAAAUUCUUGCGUGAGUACAUCGGUGUGACCAGUCUGUUUCCUUGGUUCAUUCGUAUAUAAUUUACGUUCUGUAGAAACUGUUUAGACAAGCCAGCAAUAUUUCCGAAGCACGCUGAAUCUCAAUUCGCUGAAAAUUAUCGGAUGGCGUUAGAGUCUUGUGUAUGUUCUGAAAAAAAAAAUGAUAAGUUGGAGAGACAAUUUCCGUAGAUUAGAAGUAUCAUUGUGCGAUUUUGAGGUGAUAUUACAAGAUUUUGUGAACAAAUGCAAAGGUGGCGUCGAUAUUUCAACUAUCUCUGAGCAGUGAAAGAUCGAGUGAAAUAAUUUCAUUGAGAAAUGAAGAAAAUUAAAUUAUCCAAGGCUUAGAGCUUCAGUUUGUGUAAAAGUCUGCUUCAAUUUGAUUCCGCCACAAAAAGUUUUUAGCUCUGUAUUGAUAGGAAAAUGAAAUAUUCGCUCCUUUCGAUUUUAUUUUUUCUUGAUUUUGAUCGGUUUUGACGAACAGGAUAAUCUACUAAUGCAGGGGUUAACAAAAUCCGAUUACGCAUAGUUAUUUUGUUCACAACACACUGACAAGUUGGAUCACAUUGUUCUGUAUUUUAUGUUACUUCAUGAUUGAUUUUCUGUUGUACCAAAAAUUUACCAUUUAUGUUAUACUUUCUACGUCAAUGAAUUUGUCUGAUUGAAUAUUGGUUAAAAUCAUAUCUGUUUGUCAUGUGACGACUUCCGAGUCCGUGACUCACAAUCAGUGACAGGAGGUAGCUUUGGCAAAAUUCCAAGUCCGCGAAACGUUUUAGCUCAGUUGUAAUAGGGUGCGUCGUAUUGGCAAAUCCAAUCUCACAUUUUUAUUCGAAAGAUCAAAAAUAUUCGUAGUCAGUUGAAUUUGACUCGCUGAUUUGAAUCAACGGAACGAGAGAUCAGGAGACUGUUUUACACUUUGAAAAACUUUUUUUUUACACAAAUCAUAAAAUUUCUUAUAUCUUACCUUCAACGUGGCAUCGCCUCGCAGAGUAGCCAUUUUAUUAUAAAGCACACCGGCAUAGAUUCAUUUAAAUAACAUGAUUCAUCGAUAAGAAUAUGUUGAAAAUUUUUUGUAACGUGCAUCUCAAAGUUCAACACUCAAAUACCUUGAAACUCGCUCUACGUCUCCCGUAGAAUUCACGACUAUUAUUAUUUAUUCGUACAUUCAACGAUUCAUUACAAUAUUUGUCUAAAACUUGUUUUAAAAUAAAGGAUAAUGAAAAUCAAUUCCUUGAGGAGUAUAAUAUAAAUGUUGUGUAUUAAAUAGUUGAAUCUCCGAAAAUAUGACAAUUAUUUUUGAAUAUCUUAUAUUAUACAGGUACUGUAUCUAAUCAAAAAUCAAUAUCUCUGAAUAACCUGAGCUCCCUUUUUCUAAUCUAGUGAGGUGA